UACGUAGGGUGCAAGCGUUAAUCGGAAUUACUGGGCGUAAAGCGUGCGCAGGCGGUUUUGUAAGUCUGUCGUGAAAUCCCCGGGCUCAACCUGGGAAUGGCGAUGGAGACUGCAAGGCUAGAGUUUGGCAGAGGGGGGUAGAAUUCCACGUGUAGCAGUGGAAAUGCGUAGAGAUGAUGGAGGAACACCGAUGGCGAAGGCAGCCCCCUGGGUCAAAACUGACGCUCAUGCACGAAAGCGUGGGGAGCAAACAGGA
rnacentral:rRNA from 1 species